rnacentral:rRNA from 1 species
CGCGUAGGCGGGAAUGUAAGUCAGAUGUGAAAUCCCAAGGCUCAACCUUGGAACUGCAUUUGAAACUACAUUUCUUGAGGAUAGGCGGAGAAAACGGAAUUCCAAGUGUAGCGGUGAAAUGCGUAGAUAUUUGGAAGAACACCAGUGGCGAAGGCGGUUUUCUAGCUUAUUCCUGACGCUAAAGCGCGAAAGCAAGGGGAGCGAACAGGAUUAGAUACCCUGGUAGUCC